rnacentral:lncRNA from 1 species
AUGUCUUCAACAUCUGGAAAACUCCAAUGCACACAUGUGAGAAAUAUGGACUUUGGAGCUGGGCAGCCCUUUUGUGACCAUGAGGCAACAUUGAAGAUGCAAGCCACAUGCUAAGACAGAAGAAAAUAAAGACAGAACUAAGCUGGGGCAUGUAUGACAUUUCAAGCUCUCAGAUCAGCCCUUGAUGGCCACCAUCCAUAUUUAUUGACAUGAAAAGAAGUCCUCAUUUUGUCAAAGCCAAUGAUAUUCAGGACUGUUAUUAAUAACAAAAUACAAUUCUUCCCUCUACCCACUACAGUGUAUCAUGAAACUCUUCAAACAUAUAGGAAAGUUGAGUAUGGAAUCUCUAUCUCCAGCCUUGAGGUCUCACCUGGACUCUUGGUUAUUCAAUGGACUACUCUGCAUCUCCAUGUGCAUCUCUAAUAUAGACUCCUCAACCUUAAUGUAUCCACAACUGAACCUUUGGUUCUGUACCACUCCCGUCUUGCUCCUUGUCUCUCCGUUUCCCCAUCUCAGAAAUUAACAACUUCAUCUUUCCAGUUACUUUUCCUUCCUUCCUUCCUUCCUUCCUUUCCUUCCUUCCUUCUCUCUCUUUUCUUUUUUGAGAGUCUCACUCUGCCACUCAGGCUAGAGUGCAGUGGUGCACUGCAACCUCCACCUUCUGGGUUUUAGUACAGACAGGGUUUUACCAUGUUGGCCAGGCUGUUCACGAACUCCUCACCUUAAGUGAUCCACCUGCCUUGGCCUCCCAAAGUGCUGGGAUGACGGGCGUGAGCCACCGUGCCCGGCCCAUCUUUCCAGUUUCUUGGGACAAAAACCAAAGAUCUACUUUUCUCCUUUGCCAUAUGAGGACACAUUUAAAAGGCUGUGAACAAGGAUGCAGGCUCUUACCAGUUACCAAACUGCUGGUGCCUUGGUCUUACAUUUCCCAGCCCCCAGAGUGCAAGAAAAAAAAUUUUGGUUGUUUAUAAACGACUCAGUCUUGGUAUAUUUGUCAUAGCUGUCUGGGCAGACUAAAACAUGCACAUAAACAACCCUGUUUUCUGCCUUAACAAAUCAGGUAUUUAAAUAUAUGUUCCUGAUUCUUCCCAUAAUGUGUCAUUUGUAAUUUCAGUAAUAUAAUUUCAGACUGUUUAAAAAGCUUUUUGUUCAACCCAGUUUUACAACUGGAUUACUGAGUUGUCUAAAAUCCAAAACACUAUCAUUUAAGCCAGCAUUUUAGAUGCCUGAUCGUUUCAGUCAGGGUUCUCCAGAGAGACAGAACCAAUAGGGGAUACAGACAUGAGAGGGCAUUUAUUAAGGGAAUUGACUCAUGCAAUUAUGUAGCCUGAGAAAUCCCAUGACGGGCCAUCUGCAAGCUGGAGACCCUGAGAUUCUGGCAGCAUGGCUCAGUCAAAGUGUGACAGCCUCAGAACCAAGCUGAUGGCGUAACUCAGUCCAAAGACCCAAGGCCUGAGAACCUCAGGGCCACUGGUAUAAGUCCCAAAGACCAAAGGCCGGAGAGCCUGGAGUUGUGAUAUUGAAGAGCAAGAGAAGAGUGUUCCAGAGAGACAGAGAGAGAGA